rnacentral:rRNA from 1 species
AGUGAACGCUGGCGGUAGGCCUAACACAUGCAAGUCGAACGGCAGCACAGUAAGAGCUUGCUCUUACGGGUGGCGAGUGGCGGACGGGUGAGGAAUACAUCGGAAUCUACUUUUUCGUGGGGGAUAACGUAGGGAAACUUACGCUAAUACCGCAUACGACCUACGGGUGAAAGCAGGGGAUCUUCGGCCCUUGCGCGAUUGAAUGGGCCGAUGUCGGAUUAGCUAGUUGGCGGGGUAAAGGCCCACCAAGGCGACGAUCCGUAGCUGGUCUGAGAGGAUGAUCAGCCACACUGGAACUGAGACACGGUCCAGACUCCUACGGGAGGCAGCAGUGGGGAAUAUUGGACAAUGGGCGCAAGCCUGAUCCAGCCAUACCGCGUGGGUGAAGAAGGCCUUCGGGUUGUAAAGCCCUUUUGUUGGGAAAGAAAAGCAGCAGGUUAAUACCCCGCUGUUCUGACGGUACCCAAAGAAUAAGCACCGGCUAACUUCGUG